AGAGUGAACGCUGGCGGUAGGCCUAACACAUGCAAGUCGAAUGGCAGCACAGUGGUAGCAAUACCAUGGGUGGCGAGUGGCGGACGGGUGAGGAAUACAUCGGAAUCUACCUUUUCGUGGGGGAUAACGUAGGGAAACUUACGCUAAUACCGCAUACGCCCUUCGGGGGAAAGCCGGGGAUCGCAAGACCUGGCGCGGAUAGAUGAGCCGAUGUCGGAUUAGCUAGUUGGUGAGGUAAUGGCUCACCAAGGCGACGAUCCGUAGCUGGUCUGAGAGGAUGAUCAGCCACACUGGAACUGAGACACGGUCCAGACUCCGUACGGGAGCAGCAGUGGGGAAUAUUGGACAAGUGGGACGCGAAGCCUAGAUCCAGCCAUACCGCGUGGGUGGAGAAGGCC
rnacentral:rRNA from 1 species